rnacentral:rRNA from 1 species
AAACAAAGAUAGAACCCUACACAUCUAUCCGCCCGAAUACUACGAGCGCAAGCUUAAAACUCAAGGGACUUGGCGGCGCUUUAAAACCAUCUAGAGGAGCCUGUUCUGGAACCGAUUCCCCCCGUUCAACCUCACCCUCUCUUGCUCCUUCCCGUCUAUAUACCGCCGUCGUCAGCUCACCCUUUGAAGGACAAACAGUAAGCGAAACUGGUAAUACCUAAAACGUCAGGUCGAGGUGUAACGUAUGAGAGGGAAAGAAAUGGGCUACAUUUGCUUACUCAAGUGAGCACCUGGACCAUAACUGAAAAUGUUUGGUAAAGCAAGGAUUUAGCAGUAAGCGUAAGAGUAGAGCGCUAC